GCCCUUGUAGCUCAACUGGAAAGAGCACCUGUUUCACGAACGGGAAGGUUGUCGGUUCGAUUCCGGCCAAGGACA
rnacentral:tRNA from 1 species